rnacentral:rRNA from 1 species
GUCUGACGGAGCAACGCCGCGUGAGUGAAGAAGGCCUUCGGGUCGUAAAGCGCUGUCCUUGGGGAAGAAUGGCCUUAACAGGAAAUGGUUAAGGAGGAGACGGUACCUGAGGAGGAAGCCCUGGCUAACUACGUGCCAGCAGCCGCGGUAACACGUAGAGGGCAAGCGUUGUCCGGAAUUACUGGGCGUAAAGGGUACGCAGGUGGGAGGAAAAGUCAAGUGUGAAAGGUAUCGGCUUAACCGAUACAGAGCAAUUGAAACUAUCCUUCUUGAGGGCAGGAGAGGAGAGCGGAAUUCCUGGUGUAGCGGUGGAAUGCGUAGAUAUCAGGAAGAACACCGGUGGCGAAGGCGGCUCUCUGGCCUGCAACUGACGCUGAGGUACGAAAGCUGGGGGAGCAAACGGGAUUAGAUACCCCGGUAGUCCCAGCUGUAAACGAUGGACACUAGGUGUUGGUGGUUCGAAUCCAUCAGUGCCGGAGUUAACGCGAUAAGUGACCCGC